rnacentral:rRNA from 1 species
CAUGGCUCAGAUUGAACGCUGGCGGCAGGCCUAACACAUGCAAGUCGAGCGGAAACGAGUUAUCUGAACCUUCGGGGAACGAUAACGGCGUCGAGCGGCGGACGGGUGAGUAAUGCCUAGGAAAUUGCCCUGAUGUGGGGGAUAACCAUUGGAAACGAUGGCUAAUACCGCAUAAUACCUACGGGUCAAAGAGGGGGACCUUCGGGCCUCUCGCGUCAGGAUAUGCCUAGGUGGGAUUAGCUAGUUGGUGAGGUAAUGGCUCACCAAGGCGACGAUCCCUAGCUGGUCUGAGAGGAUGAUCAGCCACACUGGAACUGAGACACGGUCCAGACUCCUACGGGAGGCAGCAGUGGGGAUAUUGCACAAUGGGCGCAAGCCUGAUGCAGCCAUGCCGCGUGUGUGAAGAAGGCCUUCGGGUUGUAAAGCACUUUCAGUCGUGAGGAA